GACGAACGCUGGCGGCGUGCUUAACACAUGCAAGUCGAACGGAAAGGCCCUGCUUUUGUGGGGUGCUCGAGUGGCGAACGGGUGAGUAACACGUGAGUAACCUGCCCUUGACUUUGGGAUAACUUCAGGAAACUGGGGCUAAUACCGGAUAGGAGCUCCUGCUGCAUGGUGGGGGUUGGAAAGUUUCGGCGGUUGGGGAUGGACUCGCGGCUUAUCAGCUUGUUGGUGGGGUAGUGGCUUACCAAGGCUUUGACGGGUAGCCGGCCUGAGAGGGGGACCGGCAAAAGUGGAACUGAGAGACGGGCGAGACUCCUACGGGAGGGAGGAGGAGGGAAUAUUGCGCGAGGGGCGAAAGCCUGACGGAGCAACGCCGCGUGAGUGAUGAAGGUCUUCGGAUCGUAAAACGCUGGUAGUAGGGAAGAAGAAAGGUGGAAGUAACUAGGAACGGCUGCAGGGGACCGAAGCGGAACGGCACGGCGAACUACGGG
rnacentral:rRNA from 1 species